AUUUUUGUAUUUCUAAUAGAGACGGAGUUUCGCCAUGUUGGCCAGGCUGGUCUCAAACUCCUGACCUCAGGUGAUCCACCCACCUCAGCCUCCCAAAGUGCUGGGAUUACAGGCAUAAGCCACCACGCCUAGGCAACUGCUUCUCUUCUUAAAGGUGGAAUUGACUAUAUACCUAGGGACUGCUUGCUUCCUGUUGCCCAGCCAGGUCAGCAAUCCUCUGCUCAUUGGCCAUGGGGCUCUGUCUACUCUGGGGUUGCUGCUGUUGGACUUGGCUGGGGCUGUCCAGAAAACCGAGGAUGCAGGACUGGAGCUGCUGGCAUGCCCCGUGCUUCGAUGUCUAAGCAACCUGCUAACUGAGGCAGCAGUGGAGACUGUGGGAGGGCAAAUGCAGCUCAGAGAUGAGCGUGUUGUGGCAGCCUUAUUUAUCCUUCUGCAGUUCUUUUUCC
rnacentral:lncRNA from 10 species